rnacentral:lncRNA from 1 species
CACUGUUUCAGAGGUCUUAGUCCAAAGAAGGCCAGCUCCAUUCCUCUGGGCUUGAGGUGAGGCAGAACAUCAUGGUGGAAGAGUAAUGGCGGAGGCAAGCAGUUCAUAUGAUAAUCAGGAAACAGAGAGAGACUCCACUCUCCAGGUACAAAAUAUAUACCUCACAGUCACUCCCCAAAUUUGCACCUCCUCCAGCCACACCCUACCCCUUCAGUUACCACUCAGUUAAUCCCUAUCAGGGGAUUAAUUCAUGGAUUCAGUUAAGACUCUUACAACCCAGUCAUUUCUUCUCUGAACCUUCUUGCCUUAUCAGUUUUUAUUAGGUUGAAUGUUUAGGAACCCAUGACUCUCAAUCUCUCCUGACCCUAGGAUUCAAUGACAUAAAGCAUCAUUUUCUGGUAAUGGGAACACCACAGAGGGCUUCCCAAGCUCCAGUGGCCGCCAUCUUGUCCUAGAGGGAAGCUAGCCGUCUCUCUCAGGUGAACACUGUCUGCCUCAGUCAGGUCAAACCCAACAACCCAGACCCAAGAGAAGCUGUCUGAGGCCUUCUCAAACAGCCACCCUUCCCUGAGCAAAGUUCAUCUGAUUCAGGAAAAAGGGUCUCAGUCCCAGCAUAAGAACACCACAGGCCUCAGGAGGGAGUGUUCUGGGAAGAGGUUGAAGAGAGGCCAGGAAAAAGCCAGGACAAAGGCAUAAUAUUCUGGAAGCUUUGCCUCCACGAGCGCUGGGUCUUCCAGAAGGACUAACUAGUGUAGGGCCAUGACUGCCCCUCGGCCAGCUCCCUGGGCUGCUCUCAGAGGCGGCAUUACAGCAGCAGAAUCGCUGCCUGUUCCUCCACACUGUGGAUUGUUAGCAGGUUCUAAAUAGGCCAUUCAUUUUUUCGGCUUNAAGGAGGACAUGACUACAGCCUGUCUGGACAGGACACUGGUUUCCUGGGACCUGUGCUUAACUGAUGGGUGGAGGCGGGGGUUUAUUUUCCCAGCAUCUCUUCCUGGUUUUCCAUCAUGGGUGGGCCCAUGACCCAGGCUGGACAAUAGUCUCAGGGAUUCAUCUGGGGAAAGCAUGUGAUUCAAACAGAACCAUCCAAGUUGUUUCGUGGGAUUUUUAUAUGAAUGCUUUGUGGAUGCUUCCAAAGUUGCAGGGGGCCAAGUAGCCCUGUUUCUCCAAGGAGAGAAAGUUGUUUGAGGUAGGAGAGAAUGAGGACACUCUUCGGGGAUGACAACCCAAGAUUAGGCAUAAAUAUAGACGGUCCCCAACUUCCAAGUCACAUUUUUUGAACUUUACUAUAAUGUAAAAGUGAUCUGAAUUCAGUGGGAACCAUACUUUAAAUUUAUAAUUUUGAUCUUUUUAAAAUUAACUUUUUAAUUUAUAUAUGACAGUGGAAUGCAUUACAAUUCUUAUUACACAUAAUAAGCACAAUUUUUCAUAUCUCUGGUUGUAUACAAAGUAUAUUCACACCAAUUCAUGUCUUCAUACAUGUACUUUGGAUAAUAAUGUCCAUCACAUCCCACCAUCAUUAAUAUUUUUAUUUAUUUUUAUGUGGUGCUGAAGAUGGAACCCAGUGCCUCACACAGGCUGGGUAAGCGCUCUACCACUGAGCCACAACCCCAGCCUCUAAUCUUUUCCUUUGAUAAGUCGUAAGAUUCUCUCCUAUGAUGCUGGGCAUCAUAGGAGGCCUCAGGAGGGAGUGUUCUGGGAAGAGGUUGAAGAGAGGCCAGGAAAAAGCCAGGACAAAGGCAUAAUAUUCUGGAAGCUUUGCCUCCACGAGCGCUGGGUCUUCCAGAAGGACUAACUAGUGUAGGGCCAUGACUGCCCCUCGGCCAGCUCCCUGGGCUGCUCUCAGAGGCGGCAUUACAGCAGCAGAAUCGCUGCCUGUUCCUCCACACUGUGGAUUGUUAGCAGGUUCUAAAUAGGCCAUUCAUUUUUUCGGCUUAGCACAGAAGGGUCUCACAACUCCAAAUACCACCAUGGGCCCGGAUGUUGCAAGUCAAAACAUUCUUCAAACCACGGCCCUCGGGUGAGAGGACGGGCUGGCAAGGGCUCUGGAGGAUAAACAACCACCCACCAGCCCGGAAACCACCGGGUACACAGGAGGCCAGGCUGUCCUGCUCACAGAUGCUGGGGGUCUGAGGAGUUUUACCAGGCUUCAUCUCAUCCAACCACCAGUGCCUGCCUCCAUCUCCCCCGGGUCCCAGACAAUGAAACCUGUUCUCAGGGGGUGCUGAUUGGCUACCACUCGUCAUGUGUCCUGGUGGCUGCCUGUCUCAGCCGAUCAGCACUGUGAGCUGAGCACUCAGCGCCGGGCUGGACGGCAGGGCUCUGUGGGUAAAGGAUGCCAGCCUUCACUGUGCCUGAGUCCAGCAAGACAUGCAGCCAGUGUGGACACCCCGGUGGACACUCAUGUGCCUGGAAAUGAAGUUCCCGGGACAGGAGGCUGUGGGGUCUGAGAGCUGUGUGACGGGCCGAGGAUGCUGCAGUAAUGUGCAUGGGCACAGGGCUCCCAGGAAGGGUCUUGGGAGGAUCAGGCAGAAUGCUUCUGCUGGACACUCCUUGGGUGACCCUUUCCAGCCCCCACCGUCUCCUGGUUGUCCAGCAGGAGCACAGAAAAGCUCGAGAAGAGAGCAUCAAGCUUAGGAAGGCAGCGGGGGAGAAAGAAAGGAGGGAAGGAAUGAAAGCAAGGGGGACUUCCAGGAGUAAUGCUGCCAGAGAAGAGGUGACCGGGGUCCCAAGCCAUCAGGGAGCAGGGACCGGCUAUAUCUACUCCAGUGCCUUUCAAUGGCGCACGUCCUCAGUGAGGGCUUGCUGGAGGGAUUCAGGGAGGGGGAACGAAUUUAGGACUGCUGUUUCCAUUGAAGGAAGGGAAGGACAGGGCAUAAUGGAAGGAAGGUGGAGAAGGUGACUCCCUGGUGACCCUGACAAAGAGAGUUGCCAGUGUGCAAUGACCAUGGCAUGGUGACAGAAGGCUCACACCUGAGUGGCACUAAAACUGAAUAGCUACAGGCCAGGCCUCUCAGUGGGAUGGACUUGAAUUGCCACUGUGGCUCUACCACUUACUGCUGUGUGACCUUGGGCAAAUUACUCAGUCUCUCUGACACUCAGUUUCUUCAACCGUAAAAUAAAGAAUCAACAUUUCAUUUAUUGGGAGGAUUACAUGAGAGACCAGCCGGUCACUGCUAGGGACCAGGUGAUGACUUCCAUGCCACACUUCUCCUGUGCAGUGUGUACUUGGCCAGCGUUGGGCAGAGUGGGCUUCUGCUAAGAAGUCUAUUUCCCUUGGAGCUUGAGAUUGGGAGCACAGGAUUCACUGUGACCAUGUCCCGGUGUGUGAAGCGGCUUCAGUUUGCCCUGGGUCUUUCUCCUUAUCCUUGUGACUCUACUUAUUUAUAUCUUGGAGGCUCCUCAAGAUUUUCCUUCCCUAUCGCGCAGGGGAAAGGAGAACUGAGAGGCUUUGAGGCCAACUCUGUAGUCCCUAACAGAACCCUGUAGGGGACUGGGUCACCAGAAACCCUCUGUAUCAGCAGAGACACAAACACCAGAUAAUCUUAAGGAUAAAGGAAGUAUUAGGGUGAUUUAAAGCCUCCCCCUUUUCCUGUUUUGGGCACAGCCUGGGAGUAGGAGGGGAGCCGGGAGCUACCUGAGCUUCCAUUUGCAGCAUGAUGGAGCAGGGGCAGGGGCUCCUCCAUCCUGUGACCUCACACGCCAUCCACUUGAUCUUUAAAUCUAAAAUCCCUCUCACGUUGCAGUCUGACCGUGGGAGCCUUGCAUCCCUGUGGGUACCAGCCUGCGCUGGGUUUGUGACUGACAAGAAAUGUCCCCCUGGGAGUCUUCAGCUGACGCAGAAAGGCUCUGGGGAACUAGCCUGUGUUCCUCCCAGCACGCUCCCUGCUCUGUGGUCCCCACAGGAGAAGGAGGGUGGCAGAUGAGGCUUUGCAACUGCUGUUUGUGAGUCUGUCUGGGUGGGCUGUAUUUCACGGCUCUCAGUCCCAGAUAGGACAGCAAACCGUGAGAACCCAGCUUAUUGGAGUGAGUGCAAGAAAUUCCAGCCAGGAGCCUGCCCUGCAUGGGCCAAGUCCUGGGUCACAUUCCCCUUGGCAAUUCCCAAACUCACCAGGAUGAUCUUUCCUCAGCAGGGAUUCAACCACAGCAGCCCUGGUUGGGAUAACACCCUCCAACCCCCGCCAGGCAUUGGGUGUGUGAAUCCUGCUCUUCUGUGUGUUCGGCAGAGGGGACCCUGCAGAGAGGACCUGCAGCCACUGCCCUCUGUUCCUUGAGACCAGUGAUCUCUCCUUCACACGAGGGCUGUCUUGUGGGUGGGAUUUGUUUUCCCUGUGGUUCAUCAAUGGCAUCUAGGGAAGGGGCUCCUUCAUUCCCUGGGUGCUAAGAUCUGGCCUCCCGUAGUUAGGAGUGUUGGGAAGCAGCUGGUUCCAGUCAGAGCAGGAGCAGGCUCAGGCCCAGGUCAGCCUGGAGCAGGUAAAUCCCUGCCUGGCAUCGGGGUUGACAAUGGAGGUGGCCGGUUUCCUGUUAGGAGAUUUUCAGGAAAUUCUCCUUCAGAAAGGCUCAAGCAAAGGUGUUUCUGGAAGCCAGACAAACACUUGAUGGCUCUUAGCCUGCUGAGCUCUUGUCUUGUAGGGCUUGAUUCAUUCUCUUCUCCUGUUUCAAGAAGAGGGAUGGUCCUCUUGCUCCUUCCUGUGUCACCGGGGACUCCCUCUGCAGGGCCUGCUCUUCCUUGUGCCCUUUCCAGGGACAUUCUCUCCAGGGAGGGCUAUUCCUCCUCGGGGCUCUCACAGGCCCAGGGGGAGUGUGCUCACACGCCUGCACCUUGCUCUUCCCAAACAUCUCAGGGCUGUUUGCUAGGGACCAUCUCAGCGGCAUGCAAGGGGGCCAGUGGUCCUCAAGUCCCCUAAUCCCCACAGUUGUCUGGGGACACUUGAAAAUGCCAGACAAGUCCCCAUCCCCACCUCCAGGAACCCUUGAACUGAGCUGAUGUCUGGCGGUGGUACUGGGAAGGCAGAUGAGCCUAAUGUGCAGUGGUGGUGGAGGCCCACCAGACUAGACCCCUGGUGAACCAGCCAGGCUGCUCUGCCCACGUGGUGCCUGCUCUUGUAUAAUCAAUUGUAUAAUUGAUUGUACGGAGAGGCAGACUCUUAUCCUCUACCCAUCGCUAUUACUUAUCCAACUUCGAUAUCAUCCGAGCCCUCAAACUCUUGGGGAACCACGUUCUGUAUGGAGAGCUGCUGGGAGGCCUUUCUCCUCAGGUGUGUUGGGAGCUGUACGGAACAAUUCUUGCCUCCAAGACCAGGUGCUCUCCCUGUCCUCCAGGUCACUCUGCACCUGUCAAACCUCAUCUUCAACAUCUUCUAGAAUGCAGACCCUGGUUCCCAUACCUGGUGCCUGUCAGUCACCAUUCCAGAAGCUACAGACCACAUCUUUUGAGGGUCAGAUGUAACAGUUGGCAUGUGUAGCAUCUAUUGUCUAUUUAUUUCUCUAUCAAUCAUCUAUUUUUCAAUCAUCUUUCUCAUUUUUAAGCAGUCAGGUGAUUCUUCUCAUGCAUUUGCAGAUGGGACACUGUGACACGUCUUGGCAGUCCAUGUUGGUCAAAUUCUGGGGCCUGCUUGGCCCUGAGGGACUCUGGGACCUUGUGGAAAGUAGUCAUGCACAAGUCCGAGGGGGACAUGUGUGGGGAAUCCAGGGCCCAUGUAGCCCUACGGGAGAUGCAUGUGGAUGAGGUGAUUUAUGUCAAAUGGGAACACACCCAAGAAGACUGGAUGGUCUCAUCCAGGGCAAAAACCAUGAGCAAAAUCAUGAUCCCAACACACUGGUUAGUCUAGUUCCAUGUCCAGCUCACUGAAGCUAUGGGGCUUCAGAGGAAGGCACAGUCUGAGACUUCAGGGGUUUGCCAUCUAUGUGGGGAAACCAGAGAAAGGGAUGUAGAAAUCUGAGAUGAAACACAGAUUUGAAAAGCUAGCAGAGCUCCAAGCCAGCUGCCAGUGUCCCUGCCAUGAAGUUACCCAGGCCACCCUUUGUCCCUAGGAAAGAUGAUAAAACACCACAAGCAGGAGAUAAAGAGAAUACUGUCCAAACAUACAAACUACUACUUCCCCGUGGUUCAGCUAAUAUUUUACAAGAUUGGAACAUUGUUAAUCCUCACCCCCACCAUUUCCCUCCCUCUUUUCUUGCUCCCCUGAAAUUGGUAUUUAUCUGUCUUUGUGCCAUAAGGUAAGAGGCCGUUUGCCAGGCGGUCAAUUUUAAUUGGCCUGAAAAGGAAUCUCAGUCCAUAGUGGGAGAAAUGGGAGAAAAGAUGGUGGGCUUCACACAGGGAAAUGAAGAUGGGGAGAGUACUGCAGGUGAGGAUCAGGCCAGGGGAUGGAUGCUGGGUUCUGUUGGAGAGGAGGCAACUGGAUUAGAAUGUGAUGGGGUGAAGAGGAAGUUAGAGCUUUUUUUUUCUUCCACUAAUCAUGAGCUGUCAGGUAGGAAGUGGUGACUGGGCAGUGCACAGGGCAGAAGCGAUGGUGGCCUGUAGACCCUUGAGGAGCAGAUGCACCUGUCCCCCACAGAGUUCCCACACACCUGCCUAGAUCCAGUGCUGCUCUUCCAUCUUCCUUGGUUUUCUCCCUCCCUUUUCUCCACCUGUGGGGUGAGGCACUCUGCGAAGCUGGGCUUCCUCCUCCUCCAUCACUCGCGUCCCACUUCUCACCUCCUCUUUCCAAGCGAGAGCACCCCAGGCAUCAGGCCUGGGGCUUCCAUUCAGCUCCUACAGCAACCUGGAAGGAUGUUAGCAAGAGCUCAGGAAGGAGUACUGUGGGGAUCCAGAGGUCUCCUGACCUUGGCUCCUCUUUGGCACCAAGAAAGCUCUCCAAGUACCAAUCCCAGGCACAGGGGCGCAGUGCUGUCAGUGUAAGAGGUACGGGGCGCUGUUACAGAGCUCUGUCUGCCUGGCGGCCUCUGUGAGCCUCUGCUGGGAAAAACAGGUCUGUUUUGAAAGAACGAGCUCAGACUCGGGUUUAUUGUGGGCAGAUCCUUGAGCUUUUGCCUUGUUUGACAGCUCGUAAAACCCAGCAGCAAAUUUGAAUUUCCAGUUCCAUGACUUGGAGAAAAAACCCUGGGAACAGUUAUCAGCUUUCUGGUCACUCCGGGUGGGG